rnacentral:rRNA from 1 species
GGAGGAAAAGAAACCAACAGGGAUUGCCUCAGUAACGGCGAGUGAAGCGGCAAAAGCUCAAAUUUGAAAUCUGGCUCUUUCAGGGUCCGAGUUGUAAUUUGUAGAAGAUGCUUUGGGUGUGGCUCUGGUUUAAGUUCUUUGGAAUAUUACAUCAUAGAGGGUGAGAAUCCCGUAUGUGACCAGUCGCCGCGCCCGUGUAAAGCUCUUUCAACGAGUCGAGUUGUUUGGGAAUGCAGCUCAAAAUGGGAGGUAUAUUUCUUCUAAAGCUAAAUAUUGGCCAGAGACCGAUAGCGCACAAGUAGAGUGAUCGAAAGAUGAAAAGCACUUUGGAAAGAGAGUUAAACAGUACGUGAAAUUGUUGAAAGGGAAGCGCUUGCAACCAGACUUGCACGCAGUUGAUCAUCCGGUGUUCUCACCGGGGCACUCUGCUGCGUUCAGGCCAGCAUCGUUUUUGGUGGUUGGAUAAAGGCCUUGGGAAUGUAGCUUCUUUCGGGGAGUGUUAUAGCCCUCGGUGCAAUGCAGCCUACCGGGAACGAGGACCGCGCUUCGGCUAGGAUGCUGGCGUAAUGGUUGUAAGCGGCCCGU